UUUCAUUCUUUUACAUCUGGUUAUCCAGUUUUCCCAACACCACUUAAUAGAUUGUCCUUUUCCCAUUGUACAUUCUUGGCUCCUUUGUUGUAAAUUUAUUGACUGUAUAUGAAUUGAUUUAUUUCUGGCCUCUGUAUUCAGUUCAUUUGGUCAAUGUGUCAGUUUUUAUGCCAACACCAUACUGUUUUGAUUGUUAUAGCUUUUUUGUAAUGUAGUUUGAAAUCAACAAAUGGAAUAUCAUUAACCCACUGAGCAAGGCCAGGGAUCAAACCCACAACCUCAUGGUUCCUAGUCACAUUCGUUUCUGCUGCACUACAACAGGAACUCCUUGUGGUUCUAUAUUAAUUUUAGAAUUAUUUGUUCUAUUUCUGGUAAAAUGCCUUUGAAAUUUCAAUAGGAUUUGCACUGACUCUUAUAUUGCAUUGAGUCAUAUGGACAAUUUAACAAUAUUAAUUCUCCCAAUCUGUGUGUACAGAACAUCUUUCCAUUUAUUUGCGUCUUCAGUUUCCUUCAUUAUUGUCUUAUGGUUUUCAGUAUAUAGGUCUUUCACCUCCUUGGAUAAAUUUAUUCCUAGAUACUUUAUUCUUUUUGAUGUGAUUGUAAAUAGGAUUGUUUUCUUCUCAGUUUUAAUUUUUAACAUUGUAAAUAUUGGUAGAUGUAACCUACAUAAACAAACAUGCUUUGGAAUUCUCUAAAGAUUUGAAUACUGCUAGUUCAAAGGAAUGUUUACAUACAUAGGCUAGCCUCAUUUUCUUUCUUGCAGACAAUUAAAUUACUAGUUCAUCAGCUUGAUAUUAUGGAAGUUUGGUUUUAGCCUUUGAGAGCAGAUCUCUUUUGCUUUAUCUUAGUGCAGAAGCUUAGCCUUUCUUUACUUCCAGGUUUUUAGGAGCCCAGUUUGUUCACUGAGCCUCUUUAACUUGACUCAGUCUCUGGCACUGAUCAGCUACUGAGAUCUCUGUUCAGCCCUUUUUCCUUCAAGUGUUGUUUUUCACCAGGACUCCUCGGAGCUUUGCUCUGCACAGACACAGCUCAGGGGUCAGUUAAGGAUUUGAGAUGAAUUUAUAUGCAGAUUUGGAGCCUCCUUCCUUGUGGCUUUCUUCCUUCUUAUGUCUCUUCCUCAAUUCCUAGCCUCUCUAGCCACUAUCUGUCUCCUGAAUCCUCAGCCCAGGAAGACUUCAGCCUUCUGCUUGAGUUCCAUGUCCAAUGCACCAUGCAGAUGCAAGAGGAAAAGGCAACUAAAUGUGGAUUGCAUCCAGUGUGCUUCCAUUCUUUCAGGGUCAUACUUUCUCCAGUCUUUGCCUGCUUUUCCUUGAAUUACAGUGAGUUCAGGAAGCUGUUUGUUUGUUUCUUUUUUUUUUUCCAGAUUUAUAAUUAUCAGCAGGAGAGUUAGUAUGGUAUCAGCUACUCUACUGUUAAAUGAAGUGGAAUUACUGUAUUUUCUCAUAUUCAAACCAAGAUCAGCAAGGCUCUGUCUUCAUCUGUGGGGAGACAACAGAGUUAAAAAAAAUUGAAAACUAUGUCUUCCUUCAGCUGUGCAGUGUUCUAGAAACUCUAUUUUCCCACAAUCCACAUACCGAUUCUAAUUUAAUAUCAUCUUAUCUAUGUGCUUCUGAUGUUGGGCUAACAUCAUUUUCUCACAGUCUACCCCUUCAUCCUUAGUAGAUGGGCAUCUGUCCAACAUCCUUGGCUCACAUUUGCAUGUUGUGAAUACUUCACAUCAUUAUACACAUCUUUUAAAAACAUGUUUUCUGGGUUUUGACCAUUUUACAUCAUUGUGGCUUUAUGGUCCCCAGUUGACCUUAAUCAUUAUCAUAUUUUUGUGUUCACAUUGUAAGCAGUUGGCCUUUAUUAGCUUUUUCUUCGGGCUAACUUAUUUAUUCCUUCAUCUUUUUACUCUUUUUUUAUUAAUGUAUAACUUACCUACAAUAAAAUGCACCUCUUUAGAGUGUACAGUUGGAUGUGUUUUGAAAAAUGUAUACAGCCAUGUAACUCACAUCCCUAUCAAGAUAGAACGUGUCUCACACCCCGUGAUGUUUCCCUUAUGCUUCAUUCCAAUCACUUUCUCCUCUGAUGGGUGAGGCCACUGUUGUGCUGAUUUCUGUCACUGCAGACUAGUUUUGUCUUUUUGCAAAUUUCAUGUAAAGGGAAUUAUACAGUGCGUACUCAUUUGGGACAAGCUUCUUUCAUUCAAUAUGAUUUUGAAUUUUAUCUAUAGGUCGCACAUAUCAGUGGAUUGUUCAUUUUUAUCGCUUGAGUAGUAUUCUCUCUGGCCAGUUUUUACAUUCUCUUGGGCCAUUUAUAGUGGGGGUUAUUAUGAAUAAAGCUUUAAGCCUUUUCGUGUAUGUGUGUUUUCUGUUCUCUUAAAUAAAUACCUAAGCAUGGAAUUGUUGAGUCUUAGGGAAAUUGUAUGUUUCACUUUAUAAGAAACUACCAGUUUUCCAAAGUACUUUUACCACUUCACACUCUUAUCAGCAGUGUAUGAGCGUUACAAUUGCUCUACCUCCUGUCAGCACUUAGUAUUAUUCAUCUAAUACUAGUCAAUUUUAAUUUUAACCACUCCAAGUUAUUAUAUUGUGGUUUUCAUUUUUCAUUUUCUUGAUGACUAAAGAUAUUAAAUGUCUUUUCAUGUGCUUAUUGGCCAUUCAUGUCCUUUUUUUGAACUGUCUGAUUGAAUCUUUUGCCAAUAUUUUUGUUAUCUAUAUUUUAUUAUUGAUUCGCAGGAGCUCCUUAUGUUCGCUUUCAAAAAAAUAUUACCUCAGUUACCUCUGAAGUCAUUCUUACCUUCUGACAACAAAAUGUCUCAGGUUCUCUUUUGAGUUUUCCUGCCCCACAUGGGGAACCAACUACACUUGGCCCUUGACCAGCAUGGAUUUGAACUGUGUAGGCCCACUUAUACAUGAACUAUUUUUGGUUUAAUCCAUGGAUGCAGAAGCACAGAUACAGAGGGCCCACUUUAAAGUUAUAUGCAGAUUUUCACCUGUGUGGUGGGUCAGCUCCCCUAACCCCUAUGUUGUUUGAGGGUCAACUGUACUCUCCAGGGAGUGUUGUCACCUUCUUGUGGAACUUGUGAUGAUUGCUGAGUCACCUCUCUUGGACCCCGAGACAGAGAGAGCCAGACCCAGCCCAAACCAUAGGGUCAGUUCUGGCCACGUUGGGGGCUGGACCUGUCUCUUCCUGCCUUGGAGUCUAGGACAGGUUACUCAGAAAUCACCACGAGAGUCAGUUUUGGUACCAAAACACUAUACUUUAAAAUGGGAACUUCAAAGCCUGUCAAGUUCCUCCAUGCUUAUUUCUAUAAUCCUUUGAUUGUAAGCAUGAGAUGUCUUGCCAACCUUCUCAUUAGUCUUCUGUUGUCCUGUCAUUUUCAUACUGCUCCGGGUGUGUCCCAGCUGAACUCUCUUCCAGACUUUUCUGUGAUGCCUUCUGGACCACACACACACACACACACAGACACACACACACACACACACUUCACAAUAAAUUAAGCUUCCUAUAUCUUUGCUUUUUUUUUUUUUUCAGGAGAAAUCCUAAAGUAAAUUUGACUUUCUCCUGUGUCAGUUUUCAUAGAGGAUAUUGUUCUUUCUUCCAUAUGCCAAUAUUUCUUGGUUGAAAGGUACAGUCAGUAUCUUCCCAAUUCUCCACUGCCCUUUCCGGUUGAUCAUUCUUUUCUUCCCUAACCUAAGCAAGAGACUUUCUCUGAGAUUCCUGCCACCUAUCAUAUGAUUUUCCAUCACCCUCUCCUUUCAGCCACCUAUCUACAUUCAGUUGUCUUCUCCAUACAUACAUACGCAUGUAUAUAUGUAUGCCUUUGGAACUUGAAUCUCAUUUAUCUUCUCUGCCUUAACUCUUGCCAUGACAGCCCAUUCAACUCUCUAACAUCUCAGUUUCCAUGAUGUUUCCUCCUCCAUUCUCUGGCUGUCACCUCCUAUUUGCUAAAUGCCGCCUACCUUUUUUUCUUUUUGGUCACACCAUGGCAUGUGAAGUUCUUGGGAGAGGGAUCAGACCCGUACCACAACAGUGACAAAGCUGGAUCCUUAACCCUCUGAGCCACAAGGAAACUCCCAAAUGUCUCUUAUCUUUAUACUAAUUAUACUCAGUCUUCAACCAUCUGGAGAUCACUCAUCCUUCCCUAUAUUCUUUUACUGUAUUAGCCCCAUUACUGUCCUUAUUUCUUUUCAGACUAAUCCUGUACCUCAUUAGAUCAUCACUUUUUCUUAGCCCGACAAUCAACUCCCUCACCCUUGUCCUGCUACCACACCUUUAGAGUAACCCCCACACACACCCCUUCCUCUCCUCCAGUAUUCUUUCUCUCUUUCUCCACCUGGAUGAUUAAGCAUUGCUGAAGCAAAAUGGUCACUUGUGCUGAUUGGUUUCAUAAUGGCUUAUGAGGUAUUUCUCUAAGAGGGACUUGAAUAUUUCCAUUAACUAUAGAAUCAGAA
rnacentral:lncRNA from 1 species